CAGCCGCCGCGGGAAUACGUAGGGUGCGAGCGUUAAUCGGAAUUACUGGGCGUAAAGCGUGCGCAGGCGGUUCGUUAAGACAGAUGUGAAAUCCCCGGGCUUAACCUGGGAACUGCAUUUGUGACUGGCGAGCUAGAGUAUGGCAGAGGGGGGUAGAAUUCCACGUGUAGCGGUGAAAUGCGUAGAGAUGUGGAGGAAUACCGAUGGCGAAGGCAGCCCCCUGGGCCAAUACUGACGCUCAUGCACGAAAGCGUGGGGAGCAAACAGGAUUAGAUACCCCGGUAGUCCCUGUCUCUUAUAC
rnacentral:rRNA from 1 species